rnacentral:rRNA from 1 species
AACGAACGCUGGCGGCAUGCCUAACACAUGCAAGUCGAACGAGACCUUCGGGUCUAGUGGCGCACGGGUGCGUAACGCGUGGGAACCUGCCUUUAGGUUCGGAAUAACUCAGAGAAAUUUGAGCUAAUACCGGAUAAUGUCUUCGGACCAAAGAUUUAUCGCCUUUAGAUGGGCCCGCGUAAGAUUAGCUAGUUGGUGGGUAAAGGCCUACCAAGGCGACGAUCUUUAGCUGGUCUGAGAGGAUGAUCAGCCACACUGGGACUGAGACACGGCCCAGACUCCUACGGGAGGCAGCAGUGGGGAAUAUUGGACAAUGGGCGAAAGCCUGAUCCAGCAAUGCCGCGUGAGUGAUGAAGGCCUUAGGGUUGUAAAGCUCUUUUACCCGACGAUGAUAAUGACAGUAUCGGGAGAAUAAGCUCCGGCUAACUCCGUGCCAGCAGCCGCGGUAAU